AUAUGAAACUCAUUUGUUGAUCUCUAGAUUUAUCCUCAAGAACUCGAUAAAGAAAUAUGGCAUUUAGGGGUAUCUUGAGUUCUCUCGUUGUCACGUACUAUUAUGUCUGGCUGCUCAUGGGAUUAGCAUAUAGAAGAAAAUGUUUGAGAAUAGAAAGAAGGUUAAGAAAUAGGGAGCGUAGGAUGGAGAAUUUAAAUGAACUCAUUCAUGAGACUGAUAGAAAAUGUAUUAGUGAGCUUCGUAUGGAUAGAAGAACUUUCUUUAUUUUGUGUGAGAUGCUUAGAGAUGUUGGUGGGCUAAAGGCCACACGCAAUAUGACCAUAGAGGAGAUAGUGGCUCAUUUUUUGUAAACAUUGGCUCAUCAUUUGAAGAACCGAACAAUUGGAAGGUUUUUCUUUCGAAGCGGCGAGACAGUUAGUAGACAGUUCAACUUAUGCCUUCUAGCUGUUCUAAAGUUGCAACAUUUGCUUCUUAAGACCCCUGAGCCAAUUCCAGAGAAUAGCACUGAUAAUACCUGGAAAAACUUUAAGAAUUGUUUGGGUGCAUUAGACGGAACCGCUAUCAAGGUAACUGUGCCAACACAUCUAAAAGGAAGAUAUAGGUCAAGGAAAGCGGACAUUGUGACAAAUGUAUUGGGUGUUUGUGCACCCGAUAUGCAAUUCAUCUAUAUGCUACCUGGUUGGGUGGGUUCAGCGCAUGAUGGUCGUGUGCUGCGUGAUGCUAUCUCGAGGCCAAAUGGAUUGCGUGUCCCUCAAGGCGAGUUUUAUUUCAAUAACUUCCAUUUGGUUUGGUGGUAUAGUGUUUUAAGUGUGUAUAUUAACUUGAAAAUAUCCUUUUUAGGUUGUUAUUAUCUUGUUGAUGCGGGUUAUACAAACACCAAUGGAUUUCUAGCACCUUAUCGAGGUCAACGAUACCAUUUGGGUGGUUGGACAGCGCAGAAUCCACCACAUAGUGCUGAGGAGUAUUUCAAUAUGUGUCAUGCUCGAGCAAGAAAUAUUAUAGAGAGGGCUUUUGGAAGGCUUAAAGGGCGAUGGGUGAUUCUUAGAUCCCCUUCAUAUUUUCCUACAAAGACGCAAUGUCGUAUAAUAAUGGCAUGUGCCCUUUUGCACAAUCUAAUUUUGCAAAAAAAUGUCUAGAGACCCUAUGGAAAGUGAGGAACAAUCGGUGGUAGAUUCUGAAAUGCCUAAGGGAGAAGUUGGUGAACCAGAAUUUAUUAUGGGUAUCUCCACAACAAAUGCGUGGAGUACUUUUCGUGACACUCUUGCGCAGGGGAUGUAUAAUGCUUAUAGGGCUUCUCAUUGAUUAUUUCAUGAAUGGACAUUUUGGAGGGCUCUAUUGCUGUUCGUGGUAGGGGGAAAA